AACGUAGGUGGCAAGCGUUAUCCGGAAUUACUGGGCGUAAAGGGUGUGCAGGCGGGGGAGCAAGUGGUGUAUGAAAUCUCCCAGCUUAACUGGGAUAGGUUAUGCCAUACUGCUUUUCUAGAGGACGAGAGAGGGGGGUGGAAUUCCGGGUGUAGUGGUGAAAUGCGUAGAGAUCCGGAGGAACCCCAGAGGCGAAGGCGGCCCCCUGGCUCGUACCUGACGCUCAGCCACGAAAGCAUGGGGAGCGAACGGG
rnacentral:rRNA from 1 species